rnacentral:ncRNA from 2 species
CCUAUGGAGAGUACAAGAACUUGUAAGUAGUGAUUGACUUACCAACACGAAAGCAUACUCGUUGAAAUAGGAA